rnacentral:rRNA from 1 species
AGAUUGAACGCUGGCGGCAUGCCUUACACAUGCAAGUCGAACGGCAGCACGGGAGCAAUCCUGGUGGCGAGUGGCGAACGGGUGAGUAAUACAUCGGAACGUGCCCAAUCGUGGGGGAUAACGCAGCGAAAGCUGUGCUAAUACCGCAUAAGAUCUACGGAUGAAAGCAGGGGAUCGCAAGACCUUGCGCGAAUGGAGCGGCCGAUGGCAGAUUAGGUAGUUGGUGAGGUAAAGGCUCACCAAGCCUUCGAUCUGUAGCUGGUCUGAGAGGACGACCAGCCACACUGGGACUGAGACACGGCCCAGACUCCUACGGGAGCAGCAGUGGGGAAUUUGGACAAUGGGCGAAAGCCUGAUCCAGCCAUGCCGCGUGCGAGGAUGAACGGUCCGUUACGGUUAGUAAACUGUCGUUUUAGGUACGGAAACGAAAGUUACUUCUUUACUAAGUAAGAGGAUACGAUACGACGGUAACCGUAAGAAUAA